rnacentral:pre_miRNA from 1 species
UCUUAUGGAUGAGCAAAGAAAGUGGUUUUGUGAAAUGAAAUCUACUCCUGGUAGAGCUGCUGUGAA